GUAUCCUGGGGUGCAUCAAGCACGGCAUUGCUAGUUGGUCGAGGGAAGUGGUUGUCCCGCUCUACUCUGCGCUGGUGCGGCCUCACCUUGAGUACUGUGUGCAGUUCUGGGCACCGGAGUAUAAAAAAGACAUGAAACUGUAGGAGACAAAUUGUAAAUCGCACACACCUUCCCCC